AGAAGUGCUAAUAUGAAUAGAAUGAAGUUAUCAGUAGAAAAAAAAAAAUUUAGAAUUUUUUAGGAAGAAUAGGUUUUACUUAUUAUUUGGAGUUGAAGCUAAUUCUGACUCUGGCUCAGAGUUUGAUUCUGAAUCGGAUUUUGACUUUGGCUUUGAGCUCAUGUUUGAGGUUGAGUUUGAGUUUGAUUCUUUUUCGGACCCUGAUUCAAACUCGUCUUCAAGAUUAAACAUUUGUGGACCAUUUUCCCAGAUAUAAACAUGGUCUUUUUGAGAUGCGAUUGCAAAGUCGUCGGAACUUUGCAAAUAAUGUCACAGAAAGGACAAUGAGUAACCCUGUAAAAUGUGAUCACUUUAAAAAAAAAAUAAAGAAAAAAAAAGAAAAACAAAAACAAAAAAACAAAAAAAGGAAAAAAAAAAGAAAAAAAAGAAAAAAAAGGAAAAAAAGAAAAAAGAAAAAAGAAAAAAGAAAAAAAGUAAAAAAGAAAAAGUAAAGGAAAGAAA
rnacentral:rRNA from 1 species